rnacentral:rRNA from 1 species
UACGAAGGGGGCGAGCGUUGUUCGGAUUUACUGGGCGUAAAGGGCGCGCAGGCGGCUUAUUUUGUCAGGCGUGAAAGCCCCGGGCUUAACCUGGGAACUGCGUUUGAUACGGAUGGGCUAGAGUUCGGGAGAGGAGAGUGGAAUUCCCAGUGUAGAGGUGAAAUUCGUAGAUAUUGGGAAGAACACCGGUGGCGAAGGCGGCUCUCUGGACCGAGACUGACGCUGAGG